GUGGGUAUAGCUCAGGGGAAGAGCGCGUGCUCAGCAUGCACAAGGUCCCGGGUUCAAUCCCCAGUCCCUCCA
rnacentral:tRNA from 1 species